AUUGAACGCUGGCGGCAGGCCUAACACAUGCAAGUCGAGCGAGCGGCGGACGGGUGAGUAAUGUCUGGGAAACUGCCUGAUGGAGGGGGAUAACUACUGGAAACGGUAGCUAAUACCGCAUACCAUCAGAUGUGCCCAGAUGGGAUUAGCAGGUAGGUGGGGUAACGGCUCACCUAGGCGACGAUCCCUAGCUGGUCUGAGAGGAUGAACAGCACAGCUGGAAAUUAGACACGGUCCAGGCUCCAGCGGGAGGCAGCAGUGGAGAGUAUUGCACAAUGGGCGCAAGCCUGAUGCAGCCAUGCCGCGUGUGUGAAGCAGGCCUUCGGGUUUUAAAGCACUUUCAGCUGGGAGGCGUUACCCGCAGAAGAAGCACCGGCGAACUCCGUGCCAGCAGCCGCAGUAAUU
rnacentral:rRNA from 1 species